rnacentral:rRNA from 1 species
GACGAACGCUGGCGGCGUGCUUAACACAUGCAGGUCGAACGGAAAGGCCCUGCUUUUGUGGGGUGCUCGAGUGGCGAACGGGUGAGUAACACGUGAGUAACCUGCCCUUGACUUUGGGAUAACUUCAGGAAACUGGGGCUAAUACCGGAUAGGAGCUCCUGCUGCAUGGUGGGGGUUGGAAAGUUUCGGCGGUUGGGGAUGGACUCGCGGCUUAUCAGCUUGUUGGUGGGGUAGUGGCUUACCAAGGCUUUGACGGGUAGCCGGCCUGAGAGGGUGACCGGCCACAUUGGGGCUGAGAUACGGCCCAGACUCCUACGGGAGGCAGCAGUGGGGAAUAUUGCACAAUGGGCGGAAGCCUGAUGCAGCAACGCCGCGUGCGGGAUGACGGCCUUCGGGUUGUAAACCGCUUUCGCCUGUGACGAAGCGUGAGUGACGGUAAUGGGUAAAGAAGCACCGGCUAACUACGUG